rnacentral:tRNA from 1 species
AUUUCGGUGGUACAAAUGGCUAACACGUUCAGCUGCUAACUGAAAGGUUGGAGGUUCUAGUCCAUCCAGAGGUA